GCAAGGAGGGCAGAGCAGCGGGCGGGGGACGGCAUCACGCACGGGUCGGGCGAGGAGUUUGCAGCCAGCCGGAGAGAAAACCCGCCCUUGCUAAGUCUCUUCGCCUCCACCAGGAGGGUAAGGAGAGGGAAAGGAGCGCGCAGGAGACCCUGGUCGGACCACCAGCCUCCCACCGUGGGGGCUUCGCUAGCACGCAACGGCCGGAUUUCCAAAGGGGCACCAAAAGAAUUGCGGAAGUCUACCAAAACUAUUUAGACAGCUCCAAAUCACGAUAUUUAAACCAGUAAAUUGUUGUCCUUAGCUGCCUUCCAGCCGCCUGACUCACAAUGGAGGGAAAGCUGUCCGGUCCUGCGCCAUCCCCAUAAUCGGUUUCAGAUAGGGCCACUGUGGUCCAUAGGAAACCAUCCAGUAGGCUAGAAGUCUGAAUUCAGGGUGCCAGCUCCAGGGGAAGACUUUGUCGGCUCUGGAGGAAGAUCCUUGUCAUCAACGUUCCCUCGGUCUAGCAGCUUCUUUGCACAGGAACUCCAGGUCUAAAGGACACACUCUGCUCCCGGCACUGCUUUCUUGAUGAAAAACACCAGGUGUUUCAAGAAACCAAGGCCAAAGUAGAAGGCAAGAACCAUCCUGAACCAGAUCUGGCCCGCGGAACAUGCACAGUCCAGCUGAGCCCCGAAAUACCUGUAUAUGAGAUUUCCCAGAAAAUUGAUAAAUUACCUAUAACUUCCUAAAUUAGAUUCCCCAUAAAGACUGUAAUCUAACCCCUGCUCAAGGAGUCAGAUCUGGGCAAGCCCCUUGCUCCUUGCAUUGCUGCUCUGCAAUAAACUGCCUUCUCUUUCUGCAAAGCUGUGUCUUGUCUCUUGACCUUACAGCGACCGGGCAGGGACCCACUUGGUCCAAUAACAAUACUUGUACUGCACUGUUAGCUUCUUGAGGGCCUCACAGCACCUGUACAGAGAAAACAUCCCAACUCU